rnacentral:rRNA from 1 species
UAGGGAAUCUUCCACAAUGGGCGCAAGCCUGAUGGAGCAACACCGCGUGAGUGAAGAAGGGUUUCGACUCGUAAAGCUCUGUUGUUAAAGAAGAACACGUAUGAGAGUAACUGUUCAUACGUUGACGGUAUUUAACCAGAAAGUCACGGCUAACUACGUGCCAC